CCUACGGGUGGCAGCAGUGAGGAAUAUUGGUCAAUGGGCGCUAGCCUGAACCAGCCAAGUAGCGUGAAGGAUGACUGCCCUAUGGGUUGUAAACUUCUUUUAUAUGGGAAUAAAGUGCAGUAUGUAUACUGCUAUGCAUGGACCUUAUGAAUAAGGAUCGGCUAACUCCGUGCCAGCAGCCGCGGUAAUACGUAGGUGGCAAGCGUUGUCCGGAUUUACUGGGUGUAAAGGGCGUGUAGCCGGGUUGACAAGUCAGAUGUGAAAUCCUGCGGCUUAACCGCAGAACUGCAUUUGAAACUGUUGAUCUUGAGUACUGGAGAGGCAGACGGAAGUCCUAGUGUAGCGGUGAAAUGCGUAGAUAUUAGGAGGAACACCAGUGGCGAAGGCGGUCUGCUGGACAGCAACUGACGGUGAGGCGCGAAAGCGUGGGGAGCAAACAGGAUUAGAUACCCGUGUAGUC
rnacentral:rRNA from 1 species